rnacentral:rRNA from 1 species
AUUGAACGCUGGCGGCAGGCUUAACACAUGCAAGUCGAGCGAGCGGCGGACGGGUGAGUAAUGUCUGGGAAACUGCCUGAUGGAGGGGGAUAACUACUGGAAACGGUAGCUACUACCGCAUACCCUCAGAUGUGCCCAGAUGGGAUUAGCUAGUGGGUUGGGUAAAGUCUUACCUAGGCGACGAUCCCUAGCUGGUCUGAGAGGAUGACCAGCCACACUGGAACUGAGACACGGUCGAGACUCCUACGGGAGGCAGCAGUGGGGAAGAUUGCAAAAUGGGCGCAAGCCUGAUGCAGCCAUGCCGCGGGUGUGAAGAAGGCCUUCGGGUUGUAAAGCACUUUCAGCGAGGAGGCGUUACUCGCAGAAGAAGCACCGGCUAACUCCGUGCCAGCAGCCGCGGUAAUAC